GUAGGUGGCAAGCGUUGUCCGGAAUUAUUGGGCGUAAAGCGCGCGCAGGCGGUUCUUUAAGUCUGAUGUGAAAGCCCACGGCUCAACCGUGGAGGGUCAUUGGAAACUGGAGAACUUGAGUACAGAAGAGGAAGGCGGAAUUCCACGUGUAGCGGUGAAAUGCGUAGAGAUGUGGAGGAACACCAGUGGCGAAGGCGGCUUUCUGGUCUGUAACUGACGCUGAGGCGCGAAAGCGUGGGGAGCAAACAGGAUUAGAUACCCUGGUAGUCCACGCCGUAAACGAUGAGUGCUAAGUGUUAGGGGGUUUCCGCCCCCCUUAGUGCUGCAGCUAACGCAUUAAGCACUCCGCCUGGGAUACGGCCGCAAGGCUG
rnacentral:rRNA from 1 species